rnacentral:lncRNA from 1 species
CUUCAAACAGUCCAGGGAUGGCUCAUCAGAAGUGGAGCACUCUCCCCACAACAUUCAUUUGGAGACAGGCUAGCAAUUUCUCAUUCUUCAUUCCUCUUUUCUUGACCUCACUCUUCUGCAAGGAGAAUACUGGCAAGAGUUAUCUGUGCAAGAACAUAUUCUUUCAGGCUGGGUCAUCCUGGAUGAGGAAAUGCUUGGAGCUACACACUAAACUCCGGCCUCAAGCAGAGAGAAGCAAUCCUUCCGCACAAGGCAUGCAUCUAAGGUGCUAAAAGGCACUUUUACUUCCUCUAGCAAGUGGGAAGCCACAUCUGUUUGACCACGUAGAAGCUUCUGACAUCUUGUCAUGAGAAGCCAUGAUUCAUGUGUGAUGUUCAUCCUGUGCAGGCUUGGAGCCGGAUGAGAUGUUUCUGAACCCUGUAUUUCAUCAUCUAUUUGGGAUUAUUUCAUGGGUCAGGAUCAUUCCAUUUUAUGUGUUCGGUAGGAAUCUAAGAGGUCCAUCAGAAACUCAGCACACAAAGCAGGGAGCUGUGACUUCUGCGGUCUAUGGAGUAAACUCCAGUCUAGAUUAUGGAGGAUGUACCAGUAAGACAAUGACAGUUGACUCCUAACCUGAUGUUCUGGGCCCUGUCUGGUCCAUUCCUUCCCCUCAGAGGGAGUUCUCCCACCAGGACUAUUUGUCUACUAAAAGAAGAACCCAGUGGGUUUGCAAACCCUUCUACUGAAGAAAGAGAAAGCUGAUGGGGAAUGUUUCUGUGCAGUUAUAUCAAAUGCUGGGCCAAUUUCCAGAAGAUAAGAUGACAAGGAAUCUCUUGUUUAGCAUCAAAGAAGGAAACUUACAAAGCAGAACAUGAAGAAUCCAGUCUGUCCUGGGUAGAUCUACACAGUCUAGGGAGCUGGCUCUCCUUUCCCACUAAGAGUAUAACUGGAGCUGUGGCCUAAGACAGAGAGGGUGUCAGAAACUGACACUGUACACCCCCAAACAGACAUUUAAAGAGAAAGAAAUGGAGGGAAAGGUUGCACUUAAUAAUAGAAAAGACUCGG